UACGGAGGGUGCGAGCGUUGUCCGGAAUCACUGGGCGUAAAGGGCGCGUAGGCGGUCUGCUAAGCGUGUGGUGAAAGCUCGGGGCUCAACCCCGAGUCGGCCAUGCGAACUGGUGGACUUGAGCACUGUAGAGGCAGGUGGAAUUCCGGGUGUAGCGGUGGAAUGCGUAGAGAUCCGGAAGAACACUAGUGGCGAAGGCGGCCUGCUGGGCAGUUGCUGACGCUGAGGCGCGACAGCGUGGGGAGCAAACAGG
rnacentral:rRNA from 1 species